rnacentral:siRNA from 1 species
UGGAGAAUACGAGGCCUUGGUUUC